UUUCACAUAUAUAAACACAGCUUUAUCUCUUUCUCCUCCAACAAAAUUAGGGUUUCCUCAGCAGGAAUCUACGUUUUGAAUCAUGCGUAUGAUAUGUUUCUCCGAUUACAUGUUUUUUAUCAAGAUUUCAAGGCUUAAGGAUGUCCGUGUUGCUGUGAAUUCGGCUUCGACCGCUGUUUCUUUGUAUAAAUGUGUCGAGAGGCAUCGAUAAAAUGAUCGAUGAUAACAUUUGCAAUAUUCCCGGAUGUCUUACAUAAUUACGUUGAUGCUUUAUGUAAGAUAAUCAACGGAUAUUGCAAGAAGACGCUGGGACCCUUAAGAAUGUUAAUCAACGGGUAUUGCAAGACAUUGAAUGUUCGAUUAAGAAUAAUCAAUGGAUAUUGCAGGAAAAAGGGAAGGGGCUCCUACGGAUCCGGUCGAGGAGACUACUGCACAACGAGAGGGCAAAACACACAAUCGAAAGAUUACGCGAGCACCUGCGGCGAUAGAGGCGGAGGUGGAUGUACAUAUGGAUCCGCAUGAGGACGAGAUGACGGAUGAGUACGGUUUCAGAAGUUGUUACACACGCUCGGUUUGGGCGUGCCCGAUCUUAAUCCAAUGAGCUCAUUUGUGUUCGUAUAUCACUUCAACAAAAAUAAUUCCGAUGAGCUCAUUUGUGUUCGUAUAUCAUUUCAACAAAAAUAAUUUUGUAUCAAAUUAAUUUUUUAUUAUUAAUGAGAGAUUUUUUUCUAGGGAGGGGGUUUAGGUUUGAACUAUGAAAAGAGAUUCUUUAACCGUAAAAAUUAAGACAUUUGGAUGACUAUAGAGUUUUAGAGUUUUUGUUCUGGGAUGUGUAGUGCUCUUCAUUAUGUUCAAUAAAUGUAUGAAUUGAUUUAGUUUUGAAUAAAAAAUAUAAUUAUGUUCAAGAAAUGUAUGAAUUGAUUUAGUUUAAAUAUUUAUUUUGUGCA